GGUUUAACAGCUGCAAAGGGUGAAAAGGGAAUCAGGUGAAAAUCCUGAGCGAACCGGUCACUGUAAAUGUGGAGAAACCUCCGGACAGACCAUUGCAUAUAUUUGCGAGAAGGUGGGGGGAUUGAAGAUGCAUAAGCCAGGAGACCUGCCUGAUAGGA
rnacentral:ncRNA from 1 species